GGUGGCUCAGUGGUAGAGUACUUGCCUCACAUGCAUAAGGCCCUGGGUUCAAUUCCUCAGCACCA
rnacentral:tRNA from 1 species